UGCCUGCCCGGUGAUUAAAAAAUUAAACGGCUGCGGUACUCUGACCGUGCAAAGGUAGCAUAAUCAUUAGCUUGUUAAUUUCAGGCUGGAAUCAAUGGCAAGACGAAGGAAAGACUGUCUCUUUCUAUUAUUUUUUAACUUUUCUUUUUGGUGAAGAGUCCAAAGUAAAUAAGUGGGACGAGAAGACCCUAUUGAGUUUUAGUUGUUUUUUUGAAAAGUUUUCUAUAAAAUAACUUUGGUUGGGGCAACUGUUUAUUUAAUUUAACAUAAGUAAUAUUAAAACUGAUUUAAAUCUUUAUAAAACCCUUAAUUAUUAAGGAACUAAAAAAAAUUACCAUAGGGAUAACAGCGUAAUUCUUUUUGAGAGUGCUUAUUGACAAAGGAGUUUGCGACCUCGAUGUUGGAUCAAGUUUUCCUGAGGGUGCAGUAGUUUUCAAAGGUUGGUUUGUUCAACCAUAAAAAUCUU
rnacentral:rRNA from 1 species